rnacentral:rRNA from 1 species
AUUAACGCUAGCGGCAGGCAUAAUACCUGCAAGUUGAACGGCAGCACAGGUAGCAAUACUGGGUGGCGAGUGGCGCACGGGUGCGUAACACGUAUGCAACCUACCCUAUACAGGCGAAUAACCUUUAGAAAUGAGGGCUAAUACGCCGUAGUAUUACAGAUGGGCAUCUAUUUGUAAUUAAAGAUUUAUCGGUAUAGGAUGGGCAUGCGUCGCAUUAGUUAGUUGGUAAGGUAACGGCUUACCAAGACGAUGAUGGGUAGGAGAUCUGAGAGGAUGUACCGCCACACUGGAACUGAGACACGGUCCAGACUCCUACGGGAGGCAGCAGUAGGGAAUCUUCAGCAAUGGGCGAAAGCCUGACGGAGCAACGCUGAGGGAGUGAGGAAGGUCUUCGGAUCGUAAAACUCUGUUAUUAGGGAAGAAAAGAUGUGGAAGUAACUGUGCACCGCUUGACGGUACCUAAUAAGAAAGCCACGGCUAACUACGUG